GAUGAACGCUGGCGGCGUGCCUAAUACAUGCAAGUCGAGCGAACGGACGAGAAGCUUGCUUUUCUGAUGUUAGCGGCGGACGGGUGAGUAACACGUGGAUAACCUACCUAUAAGACUGGGAUAACUUCGGGAAACCGGAGCUAAUACCGGAUAAUAUUUUGAACCGCAUGGUUCAUAAGUGAAAGACGGUCUUGCUGUCACUUAUAGAUGGAUCCGCGCUGCAUUAGCUAGUUGGUAAGGUAACGGCUUACCAAGGCAACGAUGCAUAGCCGACCUGAGAGGGUGAUCGGCCACACUGGAACUGAGACACGGUCCAGACUCCUACGGGAGGCAGCAGUAGGGAAUCUUCCGCAAUGGGCGAAAGCCUGACGGAGCAACGCCGCGUGAGUGAUGAAGGUCUUCGGAUCGUAAAACUCUGUUAUUAGGGAAGAACAUAUGUGUAAGUAACUGUGCACAUCUUGACGGCACCUAAUCAGAAAGCCACGGCUAACUACGUG
rnacentral:rRNA from 1 species